UGUGUAGGCGGCUUUCUAAGUUUGUUGUGAAAUCUCCCGGCUUAACCGGGAGGGUGCGGCGAAGACUGGAAGGCUAGAGUAUGGGAUGGGAGAGUGGAACUCCUGGUGUAGCGGUGAAAUGCGUAGAUAUCAGGAGGAACACCUGCGGUGUAGACGGCUCUCUGGACCAUUACUGACGCUGAGACACGAAAGCGUGGGUAGCAAACAGGAUUAGAUACCCUGGUAGUCCACGCCCUAAACGAUGCAUAUUUGGUGUGGGCCAUUCAUUUGGUCCGUGCCGGAGCUAACGCGUUAAAUAUGCCGCCUGGGGAGUACAGUCGCAAGGCUGAA
rnacentral:rRNA from 1 species